GAUGAACGCUGGCGGCGUGCCUAAUACAUGCAAGUCGAACGCUGGAAAUCUAGCUUGCUAGAUUGAAGGAGUGGCGAACGGGUGAGUAAUCCAUAAGCAACCUACCCACGAAGACUGGGAUAAUCUCUGGAAACGGGGACUAAUACCGGAUAGGUAAUCGGAAGGCAUCUUCUGAUUAUUAAAGGUUAAAAACACUGGUGGAUGGGCUUAUGGCGCAUUAGUUAGUUGGUGAGGUAACGGCCCACCAAGACGAUGAUGCGUAGCCGGCCUGAGAGGGUGAACGGCCACAUUGGGACUGAGACACGGCCCAGACUCCUACGGGAGGCAGCAGUAGGGAAUUUUCGGCAAUGGGGGAAACCCUGACCGAGCAACGCCGCGUGAGUGAUGACGGCCUUCGGGUUGUAAAGCUCUGUUGUAAGGGAAGAACGGUAGAUAGAGAAUAUCUAAAUGACGGUACCUUACCAGAAAGCCACGGCUAACUACGUG
rnacentral:rRNA from 1 species